CCGCGGCGCGCGCCCACAGCCGCAGUCCCUCCGCCUCGAGCCCGCCCGAAGGAGGGGCCGCUACCAGCCAAACGAGGGGGCAGGGAAGGAUUGGAGGGACGCACAGGUGGGGCCUCCGCUGCAGCCGGGCCACCGGCUCCCCGCGCCCGGCCCUCCGCGGUGAAAUCCGCUGCGGUGGCCGCCUCUUUCAGCGCCCGGCACCUUACCUUUAAGGCCAGAGAACGAAGAAACCGAGAAAACCCUCGGCUCCCGGAUACUAUAUCCAGCCCGCGCUAGAGGUGUUUUUCGAAGUCACUGAGCACAAGUGAGGAGGUUCCACGUGUGAACAGCCACCCCACUGCCGUAGGAUCAUAAAUUGUAGAGAUCAAUACUCUCUCGCAUUAAGAUUCAGGAGGUGUUAGAAGUAGGCCUUUGUGUGAUGCCCUUGGCUUAAUGAGCAGAUGACAGGGACUUUGGCAUCCCUUGGGUCUCAGAUUGAUGAGUUUCAGGUGAGCAGUAUUUUCACGUUGAAUCCAAGAACAAGAUUCUAGAAUAUUAAAUAUUUCCUGUGAAUAAAAAAGGAAUGGAUUUCGUUAAACAGCGGAAGGGUGUUGUUUCGGAGGGUGCACUGUACCGGGUGGCCUAUUUAGAAUUAGCACCAUUUGAUGCAGUCUGACUAUAAAUGGAAGGUGAUCCACCUUUGUAUAUGCUAUCAUUAGACCAUUUAGAAAUGGAUGGUUUAUUGGAUGAUCUGCCUCUCUCUCUCCAGGCAAUGUAUGGUAAAAUAUGAAAGGAAUACUGUGAACCAGCGUUGCCCAUAAAACAGGAAAGCGACAAAAUCCUUCCCAUUUACUUUCUUUCCUCUGUAAUUACCCCUAAACAGAACAGAUUAAUCGUGUAUAUUGUAGGAUGCUAAUUAUUUCCUCCACUGACUGCCCUUCACUCUAGUUAGGGAAGCUAGAAUGCCCUUCAACCCUUGUCUUUUAAAUAGAGUUACUUCUUUAAAGCACCUCCCCUCCCUUCUCCACACCCAAAGUUGUUAAAGAGCAAACAAAAAAAGGAUAGGUAAAGUUCAUGUUCUUUUCAUUUUUAUUUCAUUUACUUUCAAAGAAAGUCCUAAAAAAAAAAAUCAUGAUGAAAUCACUAGGAGAAGCAGAGAAACCAAACUGUCAAAUGAGAAUAGACCAAGGAAAAGUAGAGCAGAUUAAUGGUGAAAAGGGGAGAAUGUGAGAUGUAUAAAGAAAGUUUUUCCACAGAUGUUAAUUGCUUCAAGUUCCAAAAAAUAACAGGCAAACAGAACUAGCACUUGGAGGAAAAAUCCUUCUAGUUGGGUAAAUCUUUAAUCUUCUUAAAUUGUUAGUAAGAGAGUAAGGAAAAGAUUAAGUGCCCACAGUAAUAAUUCAACAAUAUAGAUCUGCAUAUAUAAAUCCCAUUAUCACUGCUUUUGAAAAAUAGAAAGACUGAGGAACAACAGGGAAUUUUAGUUUAUGUAAUUGUAAUAACUUUAAAUUUUGAUUAGGGUUUCUCCUUGCUCAACAUAGUGUGACUCAUAAAAGAGAAAAUUCUGAUAGUAGCCUUUGCAAUGGAACCAACAGCCAGAAGUUGAACUUCAUACAUCCAGUAUCCACAUGGGGAGAUAACUUCAAGUACCAGGUGAGGCAGACCGGCACUCUCUCUCCUGUUUCCUGGAGGGACUGAUGAGUGAUAUGAACCCAGUGGGGAUCCUCAUUUCCUACCUGCUGGUGGUUUCAGUGUGGACAUUACCCAGCUCCUGCAGAAAAGAUCUGAGCUAGAAUCUGCUGUAAUUCCCCAAAGUUUUCGAUUUUCCAUGGACAGUAUUGACUCUGCAUGAGUUAGCUGAAACGGAUUUCUCCAGCCUCGGAAUCACCCAACCUCAGAACUGCCUGCACCACACUAUCCAACUUGUGCAAUGACAAAGGCUUAUUGUAAAAGCCUUUACUCUGUACUGUUCACCCGGUGGGGUUGAUUGAGAAAAAGAAAUGCGCUUUCAGGAAACAGGACUCAGAGCUCAUUUCUUCCCUUCUCACCUACAAAGGUUUUGAUUGCUUUCCAUAGUUAGGAAUAAAACUAGGAGAGUUUCAUAAAAACAAAUGAGCCUGUCUUCCUAUAUCUACCAAUAAUCUUUUAAAAUUUACUGUAAGAGCAGUGAAGUUUUCAUCUGGACUUGAGAAGAAGUCCUGUGACUCAUGAAGCUAGGCCAUGGAGAUACUAAAUUCUAACAUACUGAAUUUCUGCGUUUGGCAUAAUUACUCAAAAUCUGUUUAUCAUGUUGAUAACCUGUAAAAUAGUAAUUUUAUUAACCUUUAGAGUUGUGUUAAGUUCAAAUUUCCAAAAGUCCAAAUUUCGUUAAGAUUGAGAAUUUGUGUAUAAAAAUACAGAAAAAAGUUCA